rnacentral:rRNA from 1 species
GAUGAACGCUAGCGGCAGGCCUAACACAUGCAAGUCGAGGGGUAACUAGAGUGAUAGCAAUAUUACUUUGGCUAGACCGGCGCACGGGUGCGUAACACGUAUGCAACCUACCUUAUACUGGGGAAUAACUUCGAGAAAUCGGCGCUAAUACCCCAUAACACUGCGGAGAGGCAUCUCUUUGCAGUUAAAGCUCCGGCGGUAUAAGAUGGGCAUGCGUCCAAUUAGCUAGUUGGUGAGGUAACGGCUCACCAAGGCUACGAUUGGUAGGGGUUCUGAGAGGAUGAGCCCCGACAGUGGUACUGAGACACGGACCAGAGUGCUAGGGGGGGCAGCAGUGAGGAAUAUUGCGCAAUGGACGAAAGUCUGACGCAGCCAUGCCGCGUGAAGGAUGACGGCCCUAUGGGUUGUAAACUGCUUUGGAACGGGAAUAAACCCUUCUACGUGUAGGAGGCUGAAGGUACCGUAAGAAUAAGCACCGGCUAACUCCGUGCCAGCCGCCGCCGUAA